UACGAAGGGGGCUAGCGUUGCUCGGGAUUACUGGGCGUAAAGCGCACGUAGGCGGAUUCUUAAGUCAGGGGUGAAAUCCCGGAGCUCAACUCCGGAACUGCCUUUGAUACUGAGAAUCUCGAGUCCGGGAGAGGUGAGUGGAACUCCGAGUGUAGAGGUGAAAUUCGUAGAUAUUCGGAAGAACACCAGUGGCGAAGGCGGCUCACUGGCCCGGUACUGACGCUGAGGUGCGAAAGCGUGGGGAGCAAACAGG
rnacentral:rRNA from 1 species